rnacentral:misc_RNA from 1 species
UUUCCGUAGGUGAACCUGCGGAAGGAUCAUUAAAAUAGGGGGCACUGCCCCGGUUUACAGCCGGGUGCAGCUCCUGUUUGACAAAAUCUGGAAGUAAAACAUCCAGACACCCUGUAUCUUGAGCACCUUACGUUUCCUCGGCGGGUUCGCCCGCCAGCGAGGACACCAAUAAAACCUUUGCAACAAGCAGUAUUCGUCAGUAACAAUGAUAAUUUAUCACAACUUUCAACAAUGGAUCUCUUGGCUCUGGCAUCGAUGAAGAACGCAGC